rnacentral:miRNA from 1 species
UAUAUAAUGUAAUCUGAAAUCA